rnacentral:lncRNA from 1 species
CAGGACUGAAUAAUAACUGGAAACAGAUUUAAGUUUGUCAGUAAACAUUAAUGGUAUCAUAAUAACAAGUUGGCUUGAGCUUUUAAGCGAGCAGAACUGGUCUCUACUUUCAGUUUGGUUAUAGGCUUGUUAUCCUAUCAAGUGUUAGCGAGCUGAGUCGAAUAGAGCCAACUUGUUAACUGUCCUUAACAGUGGGUUCCACGUGUCAAUGACUCAAUAUUUUAAAAAAGGGCUGAAUAGAAACUAACGAUGGUUUAAUAGUUAUUUACCUCCAUUGGCAUAAAUGAAAAAAGCUAAAAAUUGAGGCAUGCUGGUCCGUGAUACUGAGAAAAUAGCAAAGCAGGGAGAUGAGGCUCGAUUCAGCUUGCUGGCUAUGAGUCUCUUCGUCUUCUAGGGAUCAGGAUGAUAGAGGGAAAGGAAGCAAAGUUGCUUGCUCUAUCACAGGGACCAGUGCUCACUGAAACAUCAAUUAAUAAAAUUAGGAAAACUACAUGCAACCAAACUUAGAAUAAGAACAAUUGAAUCGAUAAAAUUCCUCAUAAGGAAAUUAUAGGUAGUGUAAUUUUUUUUUAUGUUUAUACUGCAAAAAAGGCAGACACUGAGGAACCUUAGUUGUUUCCAACUAGCAGGUUCGUCAAGGAUGAGCUUGAAACAAUUGGAGCAUUUCUUUGUGUUGUUGAAAAUAUGAAGGAGGAUUCCUCAAACUCGAAGUAUCAAAUGGCCAGAAUUUGGGCAGAGCAAGUGAAAGAUUUGGCUUAUGAUAUGGAAGAUUGCAUUGAGGAACAGAUCGCUGCCCUCAGUACUCAAAGUUCAAGUUGGUCUCAAUAUAUAACCAAUUACAGAACUCUCCGUCCUUUUGCUGCCAAGUUAUGUGAUCUCAGAUCAAGGAUUGUUGAGGUGAGUGAUCGAAAUAUGCGUUAUCAUCUCGUCACUGCCGACCAACCCAUCUACAAUCACAUAAUGGUGUUCUUUGGCAAAGUUGAGCCUGGAUAUCAAGAAAGCAGUACUGAAAAAGAUACCUAUGGUGUCUGGAAGAAAGGGGUGGUUCCAUGGGGUGAAGCUUCCAAAGCAUCAACAUCAAACAAAGAAACCAGGACACCCAAAGUGGUCGCAAUAGUUGGCAUGCGGGGCUCAGGAAAGACUACUUGGGCUAACGAUAUAUAUGAAGAUAAGAAAAAUGCUGAAAAAUAUGAAUGUUGUGUGUGGAUCACGGUCUCACAAGAUGUGAAUGUCACAAAGGUGUUCAUGGAUAUGAUUGCACAGCUCUCUGGUGCUUCUUCAAGCCAAGAUAACCAAAAUGGGGAAGAAGACAAGCUAGCCCAACAUAUUCAAGGAAUAUUACAAGAAAAAAGGUUCUUGCUUGUGUUUGACGAUCUGUGGACAACAAAAGAAUGGCAUAGAAUCAAAAGGGCACUCCCUAAAGUUAGCAAAAGUGGCAGCCUGGUCAUUGUGACAACAGAUAUUGUUCAUGUUGCGAAAGACUGCACUGAAUCAAAUGGUCAUGUUCAUAGGAUGUCACUGUUAUCAAAACAGGAGUCACUUAACCGUCUAAAGGAUUCGAUUCUUGCAUCAAAAAACUCAGAAAUGACUUAUGAAGACAUAGAGGACUUUGAAGAACUGGACCUAGACAGCCUUGAGGUACCUGAGCCACCCUUCAAUUCAAUUGACCAAAUACUAAGAAAAUGCAGUGGUCUAGAGUUGGCUAUAGAAACUGUGGGCAAGUUACUUGCCUCCAAGUCUCCUCACAAAUGGGGAAAACUAUGUGAUGAUCUUCCUUCAUUGCUCUAUAAUGACCCUAGCCUCAACAAAAUUAGGGAAGCAAUGAUUCAGAGCUACAGAAGACUACCACCUUAUCUCAGGCCAUGCUUCUUAUACCUGAGCAUUUUCCCGGAGGACUCCGACAUAAAUUUGGAAACUAUUGUAUGCAGAUGGUUAGCCGAAGGACUUGUGAGGGACAGAACCGGAAUGAAUCCCAGGGAUGUUGCGGAAAGAUAUUUGUUGGAGCUCUUUGAUCGGAACAUGGUUGUGCCAUCCAUACUGAGCAACAACAGAUAUUGUAAGACACUUCAGAUCCAUCCCAUGAUGCGAGAUAUCCUUGUCAUGAUUUCACAAGAGGAGAGAGUCUCCAUAACUGUUGGUCCAAGAAAGAGCUCAAGAUUGCUAGUAAAGCGGGUGCGCCAUCUGGCACUUGAUGGUCAGAGUGACAGGAAGCUAUCUAGAUGUGUGGAACUUUCUGGCAUCAGGUCAGUAACAGUGUUCAGUGAACCAUCAGAAUCCAUUGAUGCACUUAUUUGCUCUUCUCAACUUAGAGCGCUACGAGUUUUGGAUUUGUCAAGUGCCACCUUUCAAAUUACUCAAAGAGAUAUACAGCGUGUCGGAGAACUGUGUCACUUGAGGUACCUGAAUCUUUACAAAUCAAAUAUUAGUGAGCUUCCUUCAUCUAUUGGCAUGCUUCCAUUCCUGCAACUACUAAAUGUGAGGAAGACUUGGGUCACAAAACUUCCAAGUGAGGUCACUCAACUCAGCAGGCUACAGUUCCUUCGUGCUAGCAGAAGAACAGAACAUUCCUGUCACAAUAGAAGGAACCCAUUCUGCUGUGAUUCAGGUGUAACUCUGCCACAAGGAAUAGACAACCUGCAGGACAUAGAAUGGCUGGAUAUCAUGGAAAUCAAGGACAACAGUGGCUCAAAAAUCGAAGCUUUGGGGAAGCUUGCUAGUUUAAAGCACCUGGGAUUGACAGGCAUUACAAUGGAGAACAAUACAAAAGUCUCUAGAACCCUAGAAAAGCUUUCUUCUUCACUGAAGUAUUUGUAUCUUGGAGCAUGCCGAAAUGAUGGGGUACUUUCUUGCCUGCCCAUCUCAGAAAAGAAAGGGAAGUGGUCACUGGAGUUUCCAUGCCUCCAAAGAAUAAAACUUGAUGGCCAUAUUGGAAAAAUGCCACACUGGAUCUCUAACUCAAUAAGACUUGAAGUGAUUAAAUUUUACAGGACCAAUCUCCAACAGAGUGAUAUAACAUUCCUUGAGAGACUACCCUGCCUGGCCGUGCUUGCUCUCCGAGAAAAUUCAUAUAUCAGCAAGACAUUGGUUUUUUAUGCAAAAGCCUUCAGAGAGCUCAGGACCCUGGAGAUUGUAGGGCUACCCAAGUUGAAAACGGUGAUAUUUACAGAAGAAGCUGUGCCCCAUCUCCAACAUUUAGCCAUCAGAUGUUGCACGUUGAGAUUAAAAGGCAGAAGCAACCUUGAAUUCCAGAGUGCUGAUCUUGAUGAUGGUGUUAAAUAGGUUUAGCUGACAAGGAUAAUGCUCUUUGAUUCUCUAAUGAUCCGCUGGUACCAAAAUACAGUACCCCAUCUAGUGUUUUUUGAGGUUUCAAGAGUCAGUUGAUGUUUUGACCCUGAGGACAGGUAAAUAGCCAGGCUUUUUGGUGGGGUUCUGUUUCCUUUUCUUGAAGUGUUCUUUGCAUUUUGUUGAGCUGCAUAUAGUGUUUUUGAGUUUCAUUGACUCGUCUCGGUUGCCUAUAAACAUUCAUUGGCUUCAUUUCCAAUGAAAACGGCAUGUGGUACUUUUUGCUCUUUCAAUCUUAAAUAAAAAAAAUCUAACGAUCCUAAUGUCGACAUGGAAACAACAAGAAAACUAGGCACAUCUUGUUACUGUAAGAAAUAGUGAAACAUGAAUGAUAUCAUGUUUGAUGUUGAUCCCCCCCCCCCACCCCCACGCGCGGUCACCCUCAGCGGCGACUCAGGUGGCAAACACCGCUACAGCUAGGCAACUCCCCUCACCGUCGUUGGAGUCGGCUGCCGGAAACCACGCGGCAGCAAAGAUGACGGUGCAGGGUUUCCUCCUCUUUCAUCUCUUUUGGCAGCUCCCUAACGAGGUCAUGACCAGCAUCGACUGUCACUAGGCAUGGUGUCUGGCAUGAUGGAGAGCAGUGACGCGACAGGGGCAAUGCUGGAUCCGGCUCCACCUUGGCCAUAUCCGUUCUUCGGUCAGAGAUGGGAAGAGGCUGGUGGCUCUGGCCUACUGCCAUCGGUGAUUUGCGGGAAACCAUCAGUGAUCUGCCAAAAGCCACCGGCGAGCGGGCAUGACUCAGGUGGUGUAGGCCACUUGCCGGUGGCAACCGAUCUUGGUGGUUGGCAGUCUUGCCGGACUUCUUCCUCAGGCAUCCCCCCUCGGCUAUGUUGAAGUGGAGAGCUUUCAUCACCAGCUGGUGGCAGGGAAGGCGAUAUAUUGCCCCCAUGGUCAAAGCCGAUCUCAUCUUUAUAGAAGCUAGUGCCUCUUCUACCGCCUUCAGCCUCUAAAUCUCGGUGGCUAGUUCACUGUGACCUUGUGAUGGCAGUGCCAAGUUUCCUACUUGGGGCUAUGCCGGUGCCAAGGCUGGGUGAAUUAGCCGGUGAUGGGCGAUGCCUUGGUGGUGUGAGCUACUGGUAAGGUGGGUUUCAUUCCAACCAUCUGUCGACAAGGACCUUCUUCUCAUCCCACUGUUUCUCUAGCGGGUACUUCUCGCAAUGACAUUUUCUUCAUCGUAAGACAGGGAUGUCUAGAUCUGCUUGUACACCAAUGUUAGCUUGUCUUCGAUUCAAUGUAUCGCUUACAUCGACACCUCAUCCUUCUUUAGAUCGACCCUAUGGAUUUUGGGCAUGUGCCUUCUUUGCUUUUCGCAACAUUAUCUUCUUAAGGUAUCGUGUCUAUAGAAUGUUGAAGGUAGUGAUGUUCAUGGCUGAUUGUGAUUGCGCUAAGUAAUUCUUUUAGAGUAAUUGUAUACUCUUGAUAUAAUUGUCUAAGAUUAAUAAUAAAGAGAUAAAGAAACAUCAAAGAAAUCAUGUUUGUUGCCAUUGUUUCUGUAUCUGUUGCGGCAACAAAAAAAAAACUAAAUUGACACUUCUCUUAUUCCUAGCAAUCAAAUUAGUUUUCUUUUUCCUGUUAGUACGUACCCUCAAGUCAAACGCAUUAUGCAUCACACAUUAACCUGAUUUCCAACAGGAUAUUUGGGGUCUCAGAAAAUCAUCAUAUAUCAAUCAUAGCGAGAGAAAUUUCAAAAUUCCCAUAGUUUCACGGAAUUUAAUGGUGGUAAUUCGUUUAUCUGGAAACAAAAAAGAAAUUACCUCACGUGCACAAGCAUCUAGUCUGCUCCUGAACUUGUUGACGCCCAUUUGGUGGCCCUUUGAUCAACCUCCGUGGCCUUGACGCGCUCUGGGGUUUAGAUCCCGGAUAGAUUCACAUCGAUGCGAGCCGCUACUCGAGACGGCGGCGGCUAGAUUCCAGCGAGCGACCUGGGCCAGCGAAGGGUGGCGGCUGGGAAAGGGAGAUUGGCGCCGGGAGGGGUGGCGGGCCAUGGUAUCAAGCUACGGCAGCCGGCAGGCGGUGCGGCGGCGGUGCUCCCGACGCCGGCGCCGCAGCGGUGAUGGGAGGCAGGAGAAGGAAUCAAGGAAGGCAUGUCCGAGUCCGACUGUCCGAGAGAGGAGGUGGUGCGAGGGCAUUUGGGCCCGUAUUUCCAUUUUCUUUUUUUUUUAAUCCUUCGGUUCCUCCAUUAUACGGAGUACAGAGUUACAGA